CCCCUUUCAGGGUUGCACCUGGAGAGUUUCCAGUCCUCUACCAGUUUUGGCUCAGGGAGGGAGAGUUAAGCAGAGGCCUACCCAUUCCAUUCCUAGUUCGGGCAGUGGCUAGCGAGUGGAAAGCGGUCUGCUACAAGU